rnacentral:rRNA from 1 species
UGGGGAACCUGCCCCAUAGUCUGGGAUACCACUUGGAAACAGGUGCUAAUACCGGAUAAGAAAGCAGAUCGCAUGAUCAGCUUUUAAAAGGCGGCGUAAGCUGUCGCUAUGGGAUGGCCCCGCGGUGCAUUAGUUAGUUGGUAAGGUAAAGGCUUACAAGGCGAUGAUGCAUAGCCGAGUUGAGAGACUGAUCGGCCACAUUGGGACUGAGACACGGCCCAAACUCCUACGGGAGGCAGCAGCC